GGGCAUGAUAACAAUGAUUGUUGGAGAGGUUGCUAAUUUUGCGGCUUAUGCAUUUGCCCCUGCUAUUCUGGUGACUCCUCUUGGUGCUCUCAGUAUUAUAAUAAGUGCUGUCCUUGCACACGUUAUUUUGCGGGAGAGGCUACAUACGUUUGGAAUUUUAGGUUGUGCUUUAUGUGUUGUUGGUUCCAUCACAAUUGUGUUGCACGCUCCACAAGAACGCGAGAUCGAAUCUGUGACAGAAGUAUGGGAUCUUGCUACUGAGCCAGCUUUUCUCUUCUAUGCUGCUAUGGUGAUAACAACUUCCCUAGUUCUCAUAUUUCACUAUCUUCCACAAUAUGGGCAGACACACAUUAUGUUUUAUAUUGGAGUUUGCUCGCUAGUAGGUUCUUUAUCGGUUAUGAGUGUAAAAGCAAUUGGCAUUGCUUUGAAGUUGACAUUAUCA
rnacentral:misc_RNA from 1 species